rnacentral:lncRNA from 1 species
CAAAGCUCUUCUAACCAACCUCUUUUUGAUCACCUUGGGUUCUUCUUUCGCUUGGGAGUGUGUAGUGGGAUAUACUAAGAGAAGCAAAGAUGAGCGUAGAGAUAUUGGAUGGAGCCACCAUUCGUGACUUCGUAGAGGAUGAGAGGGCCUUCAACGGGACGGUCGAGGAGCGGUUUGCCAGCCUCGACACCAACUGUGAUGGCCUGCUUUCAUAUGCAGAGAUGGCGAAGGAGUUGAUGAGUCUUAGAGUACUCGAGACCCACUUCGGCGUGGAUGAGGUGAGGAUGAGCCCUGAUGAGCUCGUCCAGCUCUAUCGUGGCCUCUUUGCUCGGUUCGAUCAUGACGGCAAUGGAACGGUGGAUAUGGAGG